AUGGCAAUUGUACACACAUCUUAUACAGAGUGUGCACAUGCUUUGAUUGAACUAACACUACAAAUGAGUGUUCGUGCAGGCCAUCCUAGCCAGGAAACGCCUGCAAUUCAGCAAGUCGCUCCCGUCAAGGAAAACCUACAGUCUCUGUUACUCACCAACUUACUACGCCUGCAAAAGCUAGACUUUUCGUUGGGAAAGGAAACAGAUGCAACAUUCUAAGACGUAUCGAAAAUACGACACACUUAGUUUGUGGCCAAAAAUCGCAGUACACGACACGUACGACAGUACGACUCGAACAACUGCACAAAUAAUGCAAGCGAAUGCAUCACGUCGUACAUUACUAAUUUGCGUACAAUAGUACUGCACGAAUGGUAUGGACAAUAUAAAUCGGAAACAAGAAACAGACUGUGUCUUCAGACUGCCUUGUCCAUAUGGAAUGAGANAGUAUGCUAACUCAUUGCGGUGUAAUCACAAUAUUAACACACCAACGGACUCUCACACAUUUUGGUCGCAAAGGGCAAUUUGCACAAGUCCUAUUCGCACGACCGUCCUAUGCGCUUCCUAUGCGCAUCCUAUUACUGCCAAACACAUUAUUAGCAUCAUGAUCACCCAAGCUGGUAN
rnacentral:lncRNA from 1 species